UGCGACCUCAGGUCAGCG
rnacentral:rRNA from 1 species